rnacentral:misc_RNA from 1 species
UAUGCUGGAGUUGCUGUUAUGGGGUACACAAUGUUUGGAGAAUCAACAGCAUCUCAAUUCACUCUUAGCAUGCCACAAGAUCUAAUCGCAACGAAGAUUGCCAUGUGGACUACGGUAGUGAAUCCAUUUACCAAAUAUGCAUUAACCAUAUCUCCAGUGGCAAUGAGUCUUGAGGAAUUGAUACCAUCAACACAUCUGAAGUCUCAUGUUUAUGCUAUCUGUAUCAGGACAGCCCUGGUGAUCUCCACCUCGAUUGUUGGUCUCUCCAUUCCUUUCUUCGGUCUGGUGAUGUCUUUGAUUGGAUC